rnacentral:rRNA from 1 species
CCUAGGGAGGCUGCAGUGAGGAAUAUUGGUCAAUGGGCGGGAGCCUGAACCAGCCAAGCCGCGUGAGGGAAGAAGGUACAGCGUAUCGUAAACCUCUUUUGUCAGGGAACAAAGGCGGGGACUAGUCCCCGGAUGAGGGUACCUGAAGAAAAAGCAUCGGCUAACACGGUGCCAGCAGCCGCGGUAAUACGGAGGAUGCGGGCGUUAUCCGGAUUUAUUGGGGUUAAAGGGUGCGUAGGUUGUUUUUUAAGUCAGCGGUGAAAGUUUGUGGCUCAACCAUAAAAUUGCCGUUGAAACUGGAAGACUUGAGUGUGUUUGAGGUAGGCGGAAUGCGUGGUGUAGCGGUGAAAUGCAUAGAGAUCACGCAGAACUCCGAUUGCGAAGGCAGCUUACUAAGCCAUAACUGACACUGAAGCACGAAAGCGUGGGGAUCAAACAGGAUUAGAUACCCCUGUAGUC